rnacentral:rRNA from 1 species
UCCAGACUCCUACGGGAGGCAGCAGUGAGGAAUAUUGGUCAAUGGGCGCAAGCCUGAACCAGCCAAGUCGCGUGAGGGAUGACGGUCCUAUGGAUUGUAAACCUCUUUUGUCGGGGAGCAAGGCCCGCCACGUGUGGCGGGAAGGAGAGUACCCGAAGAAAAAGCAUCGGCUAACUCCGUGCCAGCAGCCGCGGUAAUACGUAGGGAGCGAGCGUUGUCCGGAUUUACUGGGUGUAAAGGGUGCGUAGGCGGCUUGGCAAGUCAGUAGUGAAAUCCAUGGGCUUAACCCAUGAACUGCUAUUGAAACUGUCGAGCUUGAGUGAAGUAGAGGUAGGCGGAAUUCCCGGUGUAGCGGUGAAAUGCGUAGAGAUCGGGAGGAACACCAGUGGCGAAGGCGGCCUACUGGGCUUUAACUGACGCUGAGGCACGAAAGCGUGGGUAGCAAACAGGAUUAGAUACCCGUGUA